rnacentral:lncRNA from 10 species
GUGGUCAGAGGGUCAGGGGGAAGACAGAGGGAGAUUUUUUAACACGGAACCACAAGGAAGGAGAGGCCCCCGGAGAGGACGGACGUCAGAGGCCAGAGGGCGGCUUCCUGGGGUGCUGUGAGAGACUUGUCACCUGCUGGGUGGGGCAGUCUCUGCUGGUGUCUCACGAGGUCUCGGGCUUGGCACCUGAGGCAUGCAAAGUCACGUUUGCCAUGGCGGGCACAAUAAUAGUGGCAAGAAUAAUAAUAUCGAUAACGCAUCCUGACCAUGUGUCUCUGUAGCCCUGUCACCUCCUCACCACCGUCCCAUAAGACGGGACCCUGCGAGGCAGACGCAGCCUGCACACAGAGGAGGGAGGGGAGGCUGCUGGGGCUCCGGCCUGUGCUUUCGCCUCCAGACCAUGGAGCUUCUUCACCCACAUGCUGGGUGCCGUCCAGCCUGAGGCCUGUGUGCAGGGUCCCGGUUUCAAGCCCCGAUUCCCACCUGCUAACUGUGACCCAGGAAGCCCCACCCCCCGCAGCCCUCAGUUUCUUCACCUGCCAAACUCCCUGCCUUCGAGGUCCCGCUGGGGCUCAGCUGCCCAACUCUGAUCAGAAAGAAGAGCUGUAAGUCUGGCUGGGCGGUGGCUCAUGCCUCUAAUCCCAGCACUUUGGGAGGCCAAAGAGGAUGGACUGCUUGAGCCCAGGAGUUCGGGACCAGCCUGGGUAAUGUGGCGAAACCCUGUCUCUACAAAAAAUACAAAAAUUAGCCAGAUGUGGUGAUGUGCGGCUGUAGUCCCAGCUACUCAGGAGGCUGAGGUGGGAGGAUCACUUGAGGCCAGGAGGUCAAGGCUGCCAUGAGCUAAGAUCACAACACUGCAUUCCGGCCUGGGUAACAGAGCAAGACCAUGUCUCUAAGAGAGGGGGGAAAAAAAGCCAUGGGUGUCUAAGCUGCAAGGCCCCCCAAAUCCCUGAAUCCCACUAACCAUCUCCCAAGUGAGUAGAGGGAGGCCAAGAGAGGGCAAGCAGCUGUCUCAUGUCUUCCCUGAAGGAACCCUCUCAUGGGACAGCUGGACACAGCCAGGCGGGAAGGACUCUUCACCAGCCCCGUCUCCAUAGUCCCGGCUGCCAUCACUGCUGGCAUCGACACUGACCCUCCAGCUCCAGCACCAGGUCACCACCCUGCCCCUCAUCCAUCCUCCUCCUCCACGCGUGAUGAAUGAGCUUUUCUCAUUCAAUCAUUCUCAGGGGCAGCAUAGCGUGGCCAGUAGGAAGGAGGAUGCGGGAGCCAGCCUGCCUGGCUCCACCACCCACCAGCUGCUUUUAUUCCCUGCCUGCUCUAGUUCCCUGGCUGUAAAAUGGGGAUACAAAUAAUAUCUUCCUCAUCAGGUCACUGGGAGGCUUAAAUAAGCCCAUACUGUAAAGUGCUUAGAACAGGGCCUGCCACGUAGUAAGUACUCCAUAAUUGCUAUCAUUCAUCCAUUCAUUCAUUCAUUCAUUCAUUCGUGAAUUCUAUCCUGCCUGUUUCUGAAAGAGUUGAGAUGACUCACAGUGGAAAUGCAAUGAUAACAGGCCUUUAAAUUCAGAUUAAAAGAACACAAGCCUAGGCUGCAGAGGAGAGAGUGUCCCAGAAUCUGAGCCAAGCAAGCCUCACCUGAAUACAACCUCCCGGCGUCUCAUCCAAAACAUAAAGGUUGCUGGUAUCAAUUCUCCUUUUCUGAUGAAAGGAAGCAUAACAGCUUUCCAGCGGAAUAGAAGAUUUUUUUUUGGUUCAAACUUUAUGAAUGACAUUAAACAAUGCAAUGAGUAGCCUCCCCCUCACCUCACCCUGUCCGCCUUUUUAAUCAACUCCUGAGAAAUGGGGUCUGCUCUUCUUCCCAUCCCACUCCCCAUCUCCAGACCCUGCGGAAGCCUGUGGUCCUGGAGAGCCUGAGAGCCCUCAGAGCGAUACCUUCAGCUAUCCCAGGAGAAGGACACUCUUCGCUUUCAGCACCAGGGGAAAACUAGGAAAAAGCCAAGCCACUGAGUCAAUGAGGGCCUUCCCUCAGCUGCAGACAGCAAGCCCCUUCCAGGCGCUUCCCCGCAGCUACGGCAGCAAGUGCCCCAGGGGCAGGGCCGGGAAUGCUCACUGAGAAAUCCCAGAGCUGCCUGCACUUCCUCUCACCGGCUUCCCCUUCUCUCAGCAGCCACAGGCACGGGAAAGGCCUUAUCACCGCUCACCUGACUGUGGCCACAGUCUCCUCCCUGUCAGCGUCUCCCCGCCCAAUCAACGCUUCACACCUUUGCAGCUGCUGAUUCCCGGAGGACCACUUACACCAAGCACUGUGAGCUGAUCGAUGGCAGAGUCUCUCCAGCUCAUGAGUCUUCAGUGACUCCCCAUUGUCCAUGGAAAACAGAAGACACCUGAGGCCUUGCACAGUGGACCUUAUUCUCAUCCCUCCCUCAGGAGAAUCCUCUGCCUCGAGCCGAAGGCCGUGGGCUCUGCAGACUCCAGGCCUCUCCUUCCCAGGGCGGUCUUCCCUUUCCCUAUGCUCAAGGCACAGCCCAAGUCCCACCUCCUCCAUUGCAAGGGACACCACCCUCUGAAUUCCUGUUGGGGAAAGAGCCUAGUUUUGCAGCCAGAUAGGCCCGAGUUAGAGUCUCAGCUCAGUUCCAAUCCCAUUAGCUGGUUGCAAGUCAUUAACUUUGUCAACCUUCAGUAAAUGGAAAUCAGGCCCACACUGUAGGUGCCUGGGGGUGCUGAUGGUUGAGUGGAAUCUGUUCUUUUGACCUUCCCAGCAUCUUUCCCCUUCCCAGCAUCCUUUCCCCUUUCUUUUGGUGAUGUCGCCUGGAUUUUCUGUUGGGUAUGUGGUCCAGGGGUGGCUGACCUCACUUCCUGGUUCCAGCAUAAGAUCAUGACUGAGAGCUGGCCAAUGAGAAUAUUCCCUCGCCCCAGCCACAGAGUCAGAUUCCCGGGGAUGAACUUGUGAGUCAAAACAGGCUGGUGGGAACACACUUGGGGUGUUAGCUGGAGUUAUUGAAGCUUUCUUUCCCACUGGAGUCACUAGGUAGAUAGAAGGAAAGCUGAAGCCUUUAGCCACUGCUGUGGGUUGAAGUGUGUACCCCAAAAAGAUAUGUUCAAAUUCUAAUCCCCUGCACCUUUGGAGGUGGCCUUGUUUGGAAAAAGGGUCUUUGCAGAUGUAGGCAAGUGAAGAUGAAGCCAUCCUGGAUCAGGGUGGCUUGUGGCUUGUGUCCAAUGCCUUGUGUCCUUCUAAGAAGAGAGAAAUCGAGACACAGACACACACAGGGAAAAGGCCGAGUGAUGACAGCAGCAGAGAUGGGAGCGCGGCAGCUACAAGCUGAGGGAUGCCAAGCAUGGCUGGCACCACCCAGGAGCCUGGAGAGAGGGAGGGGACAGCCUCCUCCUUAGAGCCUCGAAACACCCUACCCACAUCCUGGCUUCAGACUUCCAGCCUGCACAACUGGGAGAGAAUCACUUUCUGCUGUGUUAAGCUACACUAGUUCAUGGUGAUUUGUUACAGCAGCUGCAGGAAAUGAACACAGACACCAAAUGGAGAUACUGUGUCUGAGAUUGAAGCCAGCACCGUGGAAUCAGAGCUGCCAGGAGGGAGACGUGGACUCUCGACCCUGUGGCCACACUUGGUUCCCCCAGCAGCUGAAGCACGAAGUCUACUGGACUUACUAGACUUUCCAGUUACCUGGACCAAUAUAUUCUCUGUUUUACUUAAGCUGUUUCGAUUGGAUUUCUGGCUAUUUCAACUGAGAGAGGCCUAACUCUCAGUUAUACAGAGACAAUGGAUGUAAAAUGCAUUGAAGGCCAGGCACAGUGGCUCGCGCCUGUAAUCCCAACACUUUGGAAAGCCAAGGCAGGAGGAUGGCUUGAGCCCAGGAGUACGAGACCAGCCUGGGAGACGUGGCAAAACGAAACCCCGUUUCUACAAAAAAAUACAUUAAACCAUUUUAAAAAGAAAAUAUAAAAUGUAUUGCAUGCUGCCUGGCCAAUGGGAGACAGUGGAGUGAAUGUAGGAAGUAGUUAGUAGAGUAAAUGGUAUUUAUU